rnacentral:rRNA from 1 species
CCUCCGGGAGGCAGCAGUGAGGAAUAUUUGUCAAUGGGCGCGCGCCUGCACCAGCCAAGUAGCGUGAAGGAUGACUGCCCUACGGGUUGUACACUUCUUUUAUAAAGGAAUAAAUUUAGGCACGUGUGCCUUUUUGUAUGUACUUUAUGAAUAAGGAUCGGCUAACUCCGUGCCAGCAGCCGCGGUAAUACGGAGGAUCCGAGCGUUCUCCGGAUUUCUUGGGUUUAAAGGGAGCGUAGAUGGGUUGUUAAGUCAGUUGUGAAAGUUUGCGGCUCAACCGUAAAAUUGCAAUUGAUACUGGCAGUCUUGAGUACAGUUGAGGUAGGCGGAAUUCGUGGUGUAGCGGUGAAAUGCUUAGAUAUCACGAAGAACUCCGAUUGCGAAGGCAGCUUACUAAACUGCCACUGACAUUGAUGCUCGAAAGUGUGGGUAUCAAACAGGAUUAGAUACCCUGGUAGUC